GAUGGGCACCACAAGAACGCGUGGAGCAUGUGGCUUAAUUUGACUCAACCCGGGAAAUCUUACCAGGUCCAGACAUAUUGAGGAUUGACAGGCGAUAGUAUAUAAAAUAUAUUUUUAUAUGCAUAAAAAUGAUAGUCCUUUCAUGAUUAUAUGAUAGGUGGUGCAUGGCCGUUCUUAGUUCGUGGAGUGAUUUGUCUGCUUAAUUGCGUUUCAGUAAAUAAAAUAUAUAAUAUAUUAUAAUAUUUAGUUCUGCCAUUUAUUUAUGGAUUUAAAGUGAACAUAUUAUAUAUAUUAUUAUAUAAUAAAUGAAUGCAACGAACGUGACCGUAACCUUUUAUUGCUAUUGAAAAUUAUAAUUAUAGCAUAAAAUUAAAGGAACCGCUGUCAUUACUAAAUAUGUGUUAAAAUAGAGUAAGAUUAUGGCAAUAACAGGUCUGUGAUGCCCUCAGAUGUUCUGGGCUGCACACGUGCUACAAUAAUUACAUUAAUAAGUAUAUAUACUUUAUAAUAUAUAAUAUUAUAUUACAACCUAUUUCGAAAGUAAAUCGGUAAUCAUUUAAAAAUCGUGAUUAAUUAAUAUAAAUAUAAUUAAUUUAAGGUGGGGAUAGUGUAUUGUUAAUUAUUACACUUGGCCUUAACUAGGAAUGCCUUGUACUCUUCUUUGGUUUAACAUACCAAGAGGAAUACGUCCCUGCCCUUUGUACACACCGCCCGUCGCUCUUACCGAUGAAUUAUAUUAUAAAUCUAAGGGAUUUAUUAUAAUUAAAAUAUAAAAAACUUAUAUACAUAAUGGAUUUAAAGGAAAGAGAAGUCGAACAAGGCA
rnacentral:rRNA from 1 species